rfam:Triticum urartu cultivar G1812 contig534274, whole genome shotgun sequence.
GUAUUACCAAGAGUUCCCUGCAAGCACUUUACGAAGCACCUUUCCAAGGGCUUAUGUGAAGUGUUUGGGGGAACUCUCGGUGUAUC